GCCAAUAUACCGGGUUCAGGCGCUGCAUACUCGCAUAUGAAUAUUUAGGUUUGCAAACAAACAGAUUCAUACACCCUUCGAGGGAAUUAUCUCUGUGUUUCAAUAUUUCUAUUGGACGGAGAUUUUUAACAUCAUGGACAGGCGUGGGNUUCAUACACCCUUCGAGGGAAUUAUCUCUGUGUUUCAAUAUUUCUAUUGGACGGAGAUUUUUAACAUCAUGGACAGGCGUGGGGGAGAAGGGACACUUGAAUACGCAAAGUGUGCUGAGAGGUCAAUGCUUCGGGAACUGAAAAGGCCUGGGUUGCGUACUACGCCCUCAGUUUCAGGCUAUUAAAAGAAGAAUAUUUCUUUGACUUUGGGAAUCUCAUUCCACCAUUUGAUUUGUCGCUAUAAUAAAACAUUUAUUAUUUAUGUUGUUAAUUUGAACAUUGCGAUUUAUGUUAUUUAGCUCACAGUUGGCCUCCAUAAAAUUAAAUUUUAUUUUUUUAUCUUCUAUUUUCAAUUACACAAUAUUUUAUAAAGUAAUAUUAUACGUAAAUCAAAAAAAUUCCUUUAUUUUCAAUUAUCCAUUUUUCAUUCAUACACCCUUCGAGGGAAUUAUCUCUGUGUUUCAAUAUUUCUAUUGGACGGAGAUUUUUAACAUCAUGGACAGGCGUGGGAGAGAAGGGACACUUGAAUACGCAAAGUGUGCUGAGAGGUCAAUGCUUCGGGAACUGAAAAGGCCUGGGGGUGCGUACUACGCCCUCAGUUUCAGGCUAUUAAAAGAAGAAUAUUACUUUGACUUUGGGAUUCUCA
rnacentral:lncRNA from 1 species